UGGGGAAUUUUCCGCAAUGGGCGAAAGCCUGACGGAGUGACGCCGCGUGUGGGAUGAAGGCCUUCGGGUCGUAAACCACUGUCAGUGGGAAAGAAGGGCAUCGGCGCGAUAACCGCCGGUGUUUGACGGUACCUGCAGAGGAAGCCCCGGCCAACUCUGUGCCAGCAGCCGCGGUAAGACAGAGGGGGCAAGCGUUGCUCGGAAUUACUGGGCGUAAAGGGCGCGUAGGCGGGAUGGCAAGUCGGUCGUGAAAUCCUUCGGCCCAACCGAAGAACGUCGAUCGAUACUGCUGUUCUAGAGGAUUGCAGAGGAGACUGGAAUUCCCGGUGUAGCGGUGAAAUGUGUAGAGAUCGGGAGGAACACCGGUGGCGAAGGCGGGUCUCUGGGCAAUUCCUGACGCUGAGGCGCGAAAGCGUGGGGAGCAAACGGG
rnacentral:rRNA from 1 species